CGCUGGCGGAAUGCUUUACACAUGCAAGUCGAACGGCAGCAUAGAGAGCUUGCUCUCUGAUGGCGAGUGGCGAACGGGUGAGUAAUAUAUCGGAACGUACCUAGUAAUGGGGAAUAACUAGCUGAAAGGUUAGCUAAUGCCGCAUACGACCUACGGGUGAAAGCAGGGGAUCUUCGGACCUUGCGUUAUUAGAGCGGCCGAUAUCUGAUUAGCUUGUUGGUGGGGUAAUGGCCUACCAAGGCGACGAUCAGUAGCUGGUCUGAGAGGACGAUCAGCCACACUGGAACUGAGACACGGUCCAGACUCCUACGGGAGGCAGCAGUGGGGAAUUUUGGACAAUGGGGGCAACCCUGAUCCAGCCAUUCCGCGUGAGUGAAGAAGGCCUUCGGGUUGUAAAGCUCUUUCGCAAGAGAAGAAAACUUGCUAUCUAAUAAAUAGUAAGUAUGACGGUAUCUUGACAAGAAGCACCGGCUAACUACGUGCCAGCAGCCGCGGUAAUACGUAGGGUGCAAGCGUUAAUCGGAAUUACUGGGCGUAAAGCGUGCGCAGGCAGUUUUAUAAGUCAGAUGUGAAAUCCCCGAGCUCAACUUGGGAACUGCGUUUGAAACUGUAAGACUAGAGUGUGUCAGAGGGGGGUAGAAUUCCAAGUGUAGCAGUGAAAUGCGUAGAGAUUUGGAGGAAUACCAAUGGCGAAGGCAGCCCCCUGGGAUAACACUGACGCUCAUGCACGAAAGCGUGGGGAGCAAACAGGAUUAGAUACCCUGGUAGUCCACGCCCUAAACGAUGUCUACUAGUUGUUGGUGGAGUAAAAUCCAUGAGUAACGCAGCUAACGCGUGAAGUAGACCGCCUGGGGAGUACGGUCGCAAGAUUAAACUC
rnacentral:rRNA from 1 species